rnacentral:tRNA from 10 species
UCAAGAAUUGAAGUUUGAGAACCUCUUCCCAGAUUUCAGAAGAUGUAUGGAAAUGCCUGGAUGUCCAGGCAGAAGUUUGCAGAACAGGUGAGAUCCUCACGGAGAACCUCUGCUAAUGCAAUGCAGAAGGGAAAUAUGGGGUGGAAGCCCCACACAGAGUCUCUACUGGGGCACUGCCUAGUGGAGCUGUGAGAAGAGGGCCACCGUCCUCCAGAUCAAAGAAUUAUAGAUUAACUGACAGCUUAUACCGUGUGCCUGCAAAAGCUCCAGACACUCAGCACCAGACCAUGAAAGCAACCAGGAGGGAGGCUGUACCCUGCAAAGCCACAGGGAAGGAGCUGCCCAAGACCAUGGGAACCCAUGUUUUGCAUCAGCAUGAUCUGGAUGUGAGACAUGGAGUCAAAGGAGAUUGUUUUGGAGCUUUAAGAUUUGACUGCCCCACUGGAUUUUGGACUUGCAUGGGGCCUGUAACCCCUUUGUUUGGGCCAAUUUCUUCCAUUUGGAAGGGCUGUAUUUACCCAAUACCUGUAUCUCCCUUAUAUCUAGGAAGUAACUACUUGAUUUUGAUUAUAUAGGCUCACAGGCAGAAAGGACUUGCCUUGUCUCAGAUGAGACACUAGACUGUGGACUUUUGAGUUAAUGCUGAAAUGAGUUAAGAAUUUGGGUGACUGUUAAGAAGGCAUGAUUGGUUUUGAAAUGUGAUUACACGAGAUUUAGGAGGGGCCAGGGGCAGAAUGAUAUGGUUUGGCUGUGUCCCCACCCAAAUGUCAUUUUGUAUUGUGACUCCCACAAUUCCCAGGCAUUGUGGGAGGAACCCAGUGGGAGGUGAUUAAAUUACAGGGGCGGGUCUUUCCUGUGCUGUUCUCCUGAUAGUAAAUGAGUCAUGAGAUCCAAUGGUUUUAAAAAUGGGAGUCUCCCUGCACAAGCUUCUUUUGUCUGCUGCCUUGUGAGACUUGCCUUUCACCUUCCACCAUGAUUGUGAGCCUUCCCCAGCCACGUGAAACUGAUAUGGACAUGAUGCCUGGAGGAACAACUGACAUAUUUCAACUGUGAGAAUGAAAAUCAUGCAAUAGAGAUGUGGAACAGAAAGCUAGAAGAAUAAUUCACUCAACAAAUAAAACUUUUUACUAAUUUAAGCCACAGAUUAGUUUAGGUUUUCUGUUGCUUGUAGCUGACUGAAAUACUUUCUGAUACUGUAUUCACAAACUGUUAGUUUAUUUUCACCUCCUCCUUUGAUAAUCAUCCCACUUUUUAAAAUUCCAAGAUGAGUAGGGGCCUGAGGCACGGCUUCCUCUAUCAUUAUUGGAGCAAGUUCAAGCUACUAGACUUACUAGUAGUUCUCAGUCUGCAGAAGAUAUUUGAUGAGAUGGCCUCGUCCUCAGAACAAUCACUAUUGUUUUUUGAGCACACACAAUGUGCCAGGCAUCAUGCUAAGCCCUUUGCAUACAAGAUCUCAUUUAAUUCCUGACAACAAGGCUAUAGGAAAAUAACACAAAUCAGUACCCACCUUUUGUAGUAAAGGAAAAUCAGGAAGAGAGUUUAAGUAACUUGUUCAAACCAACCAGCUUCUAACAGGCUAAAACGUGUAGCAUUCACAUGUCUUUCUAGCUGCUGUGUCAUAAUGUUUUGGUUCAUCCAUUGUGCUAUGACCAGUCCAACUACCAAUUUUCUUCUUUGCACAGCUGUUUAUUUCAUUCUUCUAUUCUGCCUUUCUCCAUAACCGUGCUGUCAAAUAGAACUUUCUGUCAUGAGAGCAAUGCUCUAUAUUUGCCCACUUCAAAUAUAGUAGCUACUAGCCACAUGUGGUUAUUGAGGACUUGAAAUAUAAAUAAUGCAACUAAGGAAUUACAUUUUAAUUUUGUUUAAUUGUAAGUGGUUUAAAUUGAAUAGUCACAUGUGACAAAUAGCUGCCAUGUUGAACAGUGCCACUUUAGAAGACCACAACCAGAUGCUGCCCUGGCCAGGGCAAGCCAGGCAUUAGGUGCCUGCUCCCAGCUACUCUGCCCUUGACAGUCCUGAUAUUUUCCAGGAGUAGUGGCUGUCCUCCACAGCCCUUUCUUGUGGAGCUGACUAGAGGGGAUCAAGCCUUUCAGCAACAUUCAUACCUUUCUUCAAACUCAGCACUAUAAACAUGACAGCAUCUGGCUUCCCUGUGUCAUGGGCAACCCUUGGAACAGAGGUAAAAUAUCAAAGUCACUGUGAAAUGAUGAUAAUAAAUGUGUGACAUUUUUAUGGGUUACAAAAGGUUAUGAGACCAUCAGUUUUUGAGGUGAAUGAUUUAUCUAGAGAAUGUGAAUAUUUAAAAGGCACAGGGAUAGGAAAUAAAAACCAAAUGAAAAGUAUAAAAUCCCAUAACACUUUUACCUUUCAAAGCUGGAAUAUCACCCAUAAUUUUCCUACUUGCAACCUGGAUAUUAACCUCACUUUUAUUUCAUAAUUGAGUUCUGGAUGGUUUCUGACACUACCAGUUAGGUCCCUGCAUCAGGAAGCAAUUGAUCUACUCAGUAGAAUUUCUUAAGAAAACUGUUUGUGUAUAGUCAAGUAGUUGGGACAGACACAUGGCUAUUUACAAACUUCCUUCUAGUGAUCAAGUUGUGUAGUGUCUCAGGGCAGAAAUGGUGAUUACUCUUUUAGUUCCCUAACUGGAGACAGGGGAUUAGAACUGUUAGAUGUAGGGAAAUAGCAAGAGCAUGAUGUAAGGGUUUAGGAAACCUGGAUUUCCACUAAGUUGCUGUUACUUUGGGAAAGUCAUUUAACCUCUCUCAACGUGUUUCAUCAUAUAAAAGUCGAAAUAAUUAAGACGGUUGUUCCAUCUUCCAAAGUUUGAAUUUUAAGGUGCUGGUGCACCUUGAGAUAGAAGCAACACGGUGCUUGGGGUGAGCCGAGGAAUAUUGAGAGAUUCCAGAAAUUGUUGCAGUGGCUCGAAUCAAUCCCCUAAGAUGAGGAAACGGAGGAGGACGAUCUUGAGGGCUUCUAUAACAAUAAGUCAGUGGUGAAGAUUUGGAAAGAGACAACUAAGCCACAAGAGCAGUGGUGCAACUAUAGAAGUUCGCAUCCAUGGAUUCCUGAAAUUUCUUCUUGUCUGACGUUGACAAGGGGUGUAUUGUCAAAGAGAAUGUUUAAAGAAAAGAGAAGAACAAGCACACUGAAAAAAAGUGUGGAGGAGAACAGGGAAGGGAAAGAUCCCAGAAGAGAGGAACAAAAGAAGUGAGGUCGCAGAGGACAACUCUAAGAAAAAGAAAAUUUGACUUGCUAUUAUCUGCCAUAAGUAUCUUUUAUCAUAGUUCUGGACAUACACUAGUUCUGGCCACAGUCUUCACCUGUCUGGAUGAUUGCAAUAAAGUCCUAAUUUUUGCCUCUGCUUUUGAUCUUGCCUCCUUCAUGGCAUUCUGCAUAUGCAGCUAAAGUGAUUGUCCUAACACACAAAUCUGAUGGCCACAUCACUCUCUUGCUUAAACUCCUUCGUCAGCCUUCCCAGUGCUCCUCAGAAUAAAGUUGAAUGACCAUCAUGAUCUGACUGUGUCAUAUCCCUCUAGCAGUGGUUGACUAAUGUUUUCUGUAAAAGCCCAACCAGUAAACAUUUUCUGCUCUGAAGGCCAAAUGGUCUGUGUGGCAACUACCCAACUCUGCUGUCACAGCGAGAAAGCAGCUUAGGCAAUAUGUAAACGAAUGAGUAUGGCUGUGUUCCAACAAAACUUUACUUACAAAAACUGGGACCCUCCUGCAGGCCCAGGCCUUAGUUUACUGACUCCUGCCCCAUAGUCUCAAAAUCAACUCCCUCACCCAAUGCCUUAAAUCCCUGUACCCAAGACCCAUGGAAUGACUUGCAAUUCCCUAACCAUGCUCUGCUCUCUCUCAAUAUUGUACUUUUGCACAUAAUCUUCCCUCAGUCUAGGUCAACUUCCACCUAACUCGUUGUCCAGUUAACCUCCAGUUAUUUUGUGAUUCCACUUGAACUUCCUUCACCAAUCUCACUUGAACCUGUAUUCUCACUUAUCACACUGGUAGACAAUUUACCUGUUUGCAUAUGUCUCUCAUACCUCACUAUACCAUAGGCUAUUGGAGAGACGAUACCAUAUGUUACUCAUUUCUGUAAUAGCCCCAGUGUCCCUGGCAAUGAAUGGACAAUAAAUUCUAUUUAUCACUGUAAGCACUUAAUACUCAAGGUCUGUAUGUCUUGCUCUAUUGCCUAGCUACAGAAUGAACACAUGCCACUGACUGGUGAGUAAUUGAGUUUAGAAAAUUAGAGGCCAUAUCUUUAACAGUUCCAGUUUCUAGAAGUAAAGAGUUUGAUAUAAAGCUCCAGAAAGAAGAAACUGAACUUAAUUUGGAGCACAUUUUAGGAGAAAAGAGGGUAAAGGCACUGACAACAUCAUCUGACUUUAUGAAAGACUAUGGGUCACUUAAAGAGAUAUUGUGAGGAAUGCACAUAGUAAAUUUAGCAGACAGAUUUGAAAUUUGGAUGGACAACAAAUGAGCGGUAGCACUGUGACAAGGAGAGGAUGCACCUGCCAUGUCAUUUUCAUUAGAAACAGAGAACAGUUUUAGCUGGAAGAGCUGACAGCCAAAUGCAUGCCAAGUAAAUAAUCUGCAUAGGGGGUGUAAGAAUGCAAAAACAUUUCCGACACAAAGAACAAGGCCUUGGCAGAGUUUUCUGUGAAAAGAGAUUGUGAAUAAGCCUCCACGAAUGUGAAAAUCACCCAAAAGGUUGCCCUAAGAAGAGGAGGAGCAAUACUAACAUUUUGUUGGGUGACUACUGUGCCAAGUACUAUCUUACCACGAAUAAUCCUCACAAAAACUCUUGAAGCAUGUUACAAUUUUAUGGGGG